rnacentral:rRNA from 1 species
GACGUAGGGCGCGAGCGUUGUCCGGAUUUAUUGGGCGUAAAGAGCUCGUAGGCGGCUUGUCGCGUCGACUGUGAAAACCCGUGGCUCAACCAUGUGGUCUGCAGUCGAUACGGGCAGGCUAGAAUUCGGUAGGGGAGACUGGAAUUCCUGGUGUAGCGGUGAAAUGCGCAGAUAUCAGGAGGAACACCGGUGGCGAAGGCGGGUCUCUGGGGCCGAUAUUGACGCUGAGGAGCGAAAGCGUGGGGAGCGAACAGG